UACGGAGGGUGCAAGCGUUGUCCGGAAUCACUGGGCGUAAAGGGCGCGUAGGCGGCUCAUGAAGGCUGUGGUGAAAGUCCGGGGCUCAACCUCGGAUCGGCCGUGGCGACUCGUGGGCUGGAGCACUGUAGAGGCGGGUGGAAUUCCGGGUGUAGCGGUGGAAUGCGUAGAGAUCCGGAAGAACACCAGUGGCGAAGGCGGCCCGCUGGACCACAACUGACGCUGAGGCGCGAAAGCUAGGGGAGCAAACAGG
rnacentral:rRNA from 1 species